rnacentral:lncRNA from 1 species
AUGAAAGAUUAUUAUUUGGAGACAAAGGAACUAAUAAAGGAUUACCAGAGUGGAUUUAGAAAGGGACGAAGCACAAUAGAUCCAGCUAUACGUUUAGAGAGUGAAAUUAGAAAAGCCCAAAUUAAUAAAGAAAGUAUAGUAUCUGUAUUUUUUGAUGUAGAAAAGGCAUACGAUAUGUUGUGGAAACAAGGAUUAAUGAUUAAGAUUUUUCAGUUGGGGAUAAGAGGGAGAAUGUAUAGUUGGAUCAAAAACUUUUUAACGGAUAGGUGGAUCGCAGUAAGAAUAGGGAAAGAAUUGAGUACAAAGUAUUUAGUGGAAAAUGGAACUCCUCAAGGGAGUAUAGUUAGUCCAGUUUUGUUCUCAAUUAUGAUAAAUGAAGUGUUUAGUAGAGUGGAUAGAUCUAUAAGUGUUUCUUUAUUUGCAGAUGACAGAGUUAUGUGGAAAAAGGGAAGAAAUGUAGAAUAUAUAGUGAGGAAGAUGCAAGAGGCAAUUGGAAGAGUAGAGUGUUGGGGAAGGGAAUGGGGUUUUAGGUUUUCUGUAGCAAAGACCAAAGUAGUAUGUUUUUCACAAAGGAAAAAUCAAGAACAGAUUCAACUUAAACUUUAUGACAAAAAUCUAGAGAAGGUGGAAUGUUUUAAAUAUCUCGGGAUAUGGUUUGACAAAAAGCUAAAAUGGAAAAUACAUAUUGAGAAUGUUGUUAAAAAAUGUAAAAGAAUACUAAAUGUAGGAAGAUGUCUGAGAGGUAGAGAGUGGGGAGCAAGUAGGACUUCAUUGAAAGCAGUAUAUAUUGGUUUAAUUAGGUCAGUUAUUGAUUAUGGAUGUACAAUUUACCAGUCUGCAUCAAGAACAUUAUUAAAAAGGUUGGAUGUGAUUCAAAGUCAGGCGUUGAGACUCUGUUGUGGUGCUUUUAAAACAACUCCAGUAGCAGCAUUACAAGUAGAGAUGAAUGAGAUGGCUUUGGAUAUUAUAAGAAAUCAGAUAGCAUUAACGUAUUGGGCAAAUCUAAAAUGGCAUAAAGAAAGUCAUCCGACUCAGAAGGUGUUACAACCUUGUCAAGAAAAAGAAAGACGACUGAGUGAGAGCUUUGGUUGGGUAAUAGGUGAUGCAGUCAAUGAGAUAGGGAUAGGAGAUAUGACGAUAAGCCCCAUUGUGCCUUUAUCCAAUGUUCCUCCUUGGCUAUUAGGGGAAUUAGAGGUAGAUAUGCACCUUUUAGAGUUUAAAAAAACAGUAGUAUUGACAGGAGUGAAGUUAGUAGAUACCUAG